CUAAUGAAAUUACUGCUCGCCUUUCUGUUCUCUCCCUCCCUUCACUGGUUUAUCUUUCUCUCUCAUCCUGUCUUCAUAUCCUUCCAUACUCCAUUUCUGCCCUCCUUCUCUCCAUCUUCUUAUCGUCACCCAUUCUUCACAAAAACAAGUGGUUCGAUUUUUUUUUUCGAUUUCUGAUUUAUUUUGUUCUAAAACUUGAACCCUAGAAAUCGAAGAAGAUUUAUUUCUCCCUUUCAUAAGUUCCUCUCUCUCUGUCUCAUCACGCCUCUGAAACCAUACAAAUUCUAGCUGAGAAUAAGUUUUAAUUUUCAUUUUCUCUCUUUUAUUUUCAAGAUUUAACUUAUCAAUUGUUUAAUUACCAUUACCAAGCAACAUGUAGGAUUUCCUUUCUCUCAUAUCAAAUCGAUUUCGCCGUUCUCAUAACUUUUGGGACACACGAAUAACAUCAAAAAUUAGGGUUUCGAUUGAAAUAGCUUUCGCGUCCUCUCAUCAUUCCUCUCUUUGAUUCCGUUGAAAGAACUGAAUUUUCGUUUAUGUUGCCGAUAGAUUGCAGAUCUAUGUUUUUUGAAGGGUUAAUUUGAUGGGUUAUUAGGUCUCUCUCCCUCACUCCAUCACAAUCCGCCAACAACUGUUGCAUGUCCGUCACCACUAACGACUCCUCUCCUUCACUGCCGUAGUGCCGCCCACCUCGCCAGCAAUGUCUUUAUAUGGUUAGUUUUUGAUAAAUUCAUCUGUAAAUUUAGUUAUUUAAAAUAAACUUGGUUUUUGGUGGAUUUUGCGUGAAUUACAGAGUGGAUUUGAUAAAUUCAUUUGUGUGAUUAUCUGGUGAUUUUAGAUGUUUGUAUUGUGUUGAUAUGGUAAAUGAGUCCAUCACUGAAUCAUAUUUGCUAUUGACAUCCUUGAGAAUAAGUCUAUUUCGUGUAUAACGUUCGCUAUUAUGCUGGUCUUAUGAAAAACAAAGAUGUUUUGAUUUUGUUGAGCAGUUUAGCCCCUAGGGAGCUUCUCGCCUUUUCGUUAUCAAUGAUAUGAUUCCACAACUACUGGUGAUGAGCUAUCUGUUGGUCGAUUGUUUUUAUGAGCUUCUUCCCUGUGGGUUUACCUUAUCUAUGUGUUAUCAAGAUUAACAGAAAACUGAAAUUAUUGGCCUACUUUUCAUACCUAAUUAUGUCUGGUUUAGUGUGGUGAAUUUAAGAUCAUAUCUUAAGUUGUUAUGGAAUAUUGGCGAUCCUCAAUUAUUCAACUAAAAUUGUCGAACAAAACUCUAGUUUUGCAAUUGGGCUCAAUUGGUUGGGUUUUUUGCAAUAAAAUAAGGGACGUCGCCUUAGGCGAUCUGAUUCGCGAACGAAGGCGACCUCAUCACGAUUUGUUCCGCGAUUGGGGACAAGUGAUUCAAAUCGCACAUCGGGAAAGCAUCCUACAUUCCUUGUAUCACUGGACUAAAAGCUAGUUGUGGCUGAAUUCUGUGCACCACUCUUCUCUCUUUGAGACAUAACUCACCUAAAAAGUUUUCAUUUUUAGGGAGUAAUUUUCUAUGAAUCAUAGAAUUAACGAGUAUUAUGAAAGAUCUUUCUUGAAUUUGAUGAGCUUUUUUUGUGUCAGCUAAUAGUCUCAUGUAGUUCACAGGCUUUUGGCCUGAGAAGUAGCAUGUAAGCAGAAGUUCUCAAAUUGGUAUAAUAGAAAACCCUUGUCCCCGAAAAAAUUAUAAGGGUGUCUGAGUGUCUCUCCUCCUAGAAUUACUACAUCAUUUGUUUAUUACGGUACUAUUAUGAAGAUAUGAAGACAGAUAACAUUAUUAAAUGGAAAGUCUUGUUUGUUUUACUUUCAUUAUUUAAAGUUUUAAACUGCUACUUCUGGAAAGUGGGAGGGGAGUGUGAAAAGUUCAUUUGAUAUGGCACAAGUCAAUUGUAGUUUUCUAGAGGGAGAUCUAGUCUUCUCUGUGAGGUUGCAGGUCCUCAAAGUUUUGAACUCAUUUGUGAGUUAUGGUUGAUAUGGCACAAGUCAACUAUGUGUUUCUACCUGCUGAAUUGUGUUUUGUACACCCGCUUCCUGGAGAGCUGGUUCGAGGUGCCCAAAGACUGCCGUCAAUAAUGAGACGGGUUGAAAGCAUGUUACUUGCAAUUGAACUUAAGAAUAUAAUCAACUAUCAUAUCCCUGCUUCUAAGAUUCUGGAAGCUUUGACUGCAGCCUCUUGUCAAGAGACAUUUUGCUAUGAAAGAGCCAAGCUCCUGGGAGAUGCUUAUUUGAAAUGAUUUGGUUUUCGUGAUUUUCAUUCCCGUCAUUGCAAUUUCUCUUUGGUAUUAGCAAUAUUACAUUCCCUCAGCACGAGAACUCCAGUGAUACAGCAUUUUGCCGAGACUAUAUCUGGAGCAACAACUAUUAGGAGCUUCGAUCAAGAAUCGUGAUUCGUUAAAACAAGCGUGAAGCUAGUAAAUGGAUAUUCAAGGCCAAAGUUUUACAAUGUUGCUGCAAUGGAAUGGCUUUGCAUUCGCUUGGACUUGUUGUCUUCAAUUACAUUUGCUGCCUCAUUGAUAUUUCUCAUAUCCAUUCCUGUAGGAUUAAUCGAUCCUGGGAUUGCUGGUUUCUGUUUCAUAUGGGCUAAAUCUGAACAUGCUAUAAGGCUGGGUGAUAUGGAAUUUAUGUAAUAUGGAGAAUAAAAUCAUCUCAGUUGAGAGGAUUCUUAAGUAUACAUCUAUCCCAAGUGAACCUCCCCUUAUUAUUGAAGAAACUAGGCCAGACCCGUCUUGGCCUUCUCAUGGAGAAGUCAAUGUUCAAGACCUGCGGGUGAUUUUGGUUUCAUUUUACUUGCUUUCGUUGCAUAACAUGUAAGGCCACGACAGAAAAAUUGAAACGCGCGCUUUCCUUAAACAUUGUGAUGGAUAUAUGCAGUUUCGUUAUGCGUCCAUUUUUUUUAAUAAUAAUAUUUCUGAAUGUGUUUGAUGUCUGA